rnacentral:rRNA from 1 species
UACGAAGGGGGCUAGCGUUGUUCGGAAUUACUGGGCGUAAAGGGCGCGUAGGCGGCUCUUCAAGUUAGGCGUGAAAGCCCCGGGCUCAACCUGGGAAUUGCGCUUGAUACUGUUGGGCUUGAGUUCGGGAGAGGAGAGUGGAAUUCCCAGUGUAGAGGUGAAAUUCGUAGAUAUUGGGAAGAACACCAGUGGCGAAGGCGGCUCUCUGGACCGAUACUGACGCUGAGGCGCGAAAGCGUGGGGAGCAAACAGG